rnacentral:rRNA from 1 species
UACGGAGGGGGCGAGCGUUAUUCGGAAUUAUUGGGCGUAAAGGGCGCGUAGGCGGCUCUUUAAGUCAAAGGUGAAAUCCCUCGGCUCAACUGAGGAACUGCCUUUGAAACUGAGGGGCUUGAGUCCGGGAGGGGGUAGCGGAAUUCCCAGUGUAGCGGUGAAAUUCGUAGAUAUUCGGAGGAACACCAGUGGCGAAGGCGACUCACUGGGCACAUAUUGACGCUGAGGUGCGAAAGCGUGGGGAGCAAACAGG